rnacentral:rRNA from 1 species
AAAGCUGCCCCCUCCCCUCCUGUCUCGGGGCACGGGGAAGGGGCGAAAGCUGGCCUCCCGUGGGCCCCCGGCUCGCGGUUGGUUAAAAGAGACGGGCUCUUGGUGGGGAGCAGCACCGCGGCGGAUGGUGGUCGAGUGCGACCCUCGUGGCCAGCCGCGCGUUCUUCUCCCCCGUUUCAAGGCCCGGCGACCCUCGGGCGACGCCGGUCGUCCCUAGC